CGAAUAAACUUGAACAGGCUGUUGCUGACACCCCUAGGGUGUGUAUGUGCACGCUUGUCAUCUUUAUCAUUUCUCCAACUGUGCACAUAUUGUAGACCUUGGAAGCUUUUUUGAAUUUAUUUUUCGAGUUGGGACUGCUGUGUUUGAUCAAAGUCAGCUUUGCCCUUUGCAUUUCAAGGUCUAUGUCAUUUUUUCACAAACCUCUUGAUGCGUUUAGAAUGUGUUGAAUCAGGUCAAUUUUGUACCUAUAAAGUUAAAUAUACAACUUUCAGCAACGGAUCUCUUGGCUCUCGCAUCGAUGAAGAACGCAGCGAAAUGCGAUAAGUAAUGUGAAUUGCAGAAUUCAGUGAAUCAUCGAAUCUUUGAACGCAUCUUGCGCUCCUUGGUAUUCCGAGGAGCAUGCCUGUUUGAGUGUCAUUCAACUUCUCUCAACUACAUCAAUGAUGUGGCUUGGAUUUGGGGGGAUUUUCUUUGCAGGCUUUAAAUGAAGUCUGCUCCCCUGAAAUACAUUAGUGGUGUCUGAGCUGCUGCUAUAGGUGUGAUAAUUAUCUACGCCUUAUGCUGGGCUGGUUGCACUGCUUCUAACAAAAAAAGACCUUACAAUUUUAUUAUUGUUUGACGAAUUUGACCUCAAAUCAGGUAGGACUACCCGCUGAACUUAAGCAUAUCAAUAAGCGGAGGAAAAGAAACUAACAAGGAUUCCCCUAGUAACUGCGAGUGAAGCGGGAAAAGCUCAAAUUUGAAAUCUGGCAGUUCUUGAACUGUCCGAAUUGUAAUCUAGAGAAGUGUUACCUGUGCUGGACCGUGUCAAGGUCCUCCUGAA
rnacentral:rRNA from 1 species